ensembl:lncRNA
GCCUGGUGUCCUUUGUCUAAAUUGGUGUGUAAUCUACAAGCUGCAUGCAGUCAUCCAGUGAUUGAGAGGAGAGAGGAGGCUUUCAACGAACGAUAUAUCAUGAAGAGAUAUGUGAAAAACACCUUGAGGAUUGAUUCUAAACAACGUUUACCAUGUUUCAGUCGAUAUUAUGGAGUUAAUUUGGAAAAAAGUUUGGCGUUUUGAAGACUGAAUUUUCGUUUUUUUUUGGUAGCCAAACGUGACGCACCAAACGGAGCAAUUUCUCCUAAACAAAUAAUCUUUCAGGAAAAACUGAGCAUUUGCUAUCUAACUGAGAGUCUCCUCAUUAAAAACAUCUGAAGUUCUUGAAAGGAAAAACUGAGCAUUUGCUAUCUAACUGAGAGUCUCCUCAUUGAAAACAUCUGAAGUUCUUCAAAGCUUCAAGGCAUAGCGAUUGGUCUCCUCUACUGUGUCUCCCACCAGCUCCUCUGUCAGAAACAUCUUGAAGCACUCUGUGUCAGAUGGAAAUGGCAAGGGGCAUUGCACUCCAGACUGAGAUUCAUCAAAGCAAACCGCAGGGCCAGGAGGGGUGAAAUGGCUGGCAGCCUUCCAGCUACCACAGAACUCCUGUACUUCAUCCACUGUCGGUCUGCCUCCAUCACCACCAGCAUCUUCAAAGGGAACUGGGACUUUGUCUGUGGACAAGGGGUCCUCAGAUUCAGGGUUCUCACGGGCUGGGGGGAAGCUCCUCACUGUCACUGUCAGAAUCUGAUUCCUGACUUUCAGACUCAUUGUCAGAAUUUUUUUAAUCUCCAGAAUUUCUGCAUUUGUGAGUUGUCUCCUUUUGAAAGACAUUGCUAAUGUUACAGCUUAGCUCACUAGCUACAUACUAACAACACCACUGAAUGGCUCAGAGUGGGAGUUAGAGGUUACGUGAUUGACUGCCUGCACGCAUCAUUUGUAUCAAUAAAUCACUAUCAGAAAAUGUCUUGUGUGGUAAUUAUUGAUAUGUUUACUGUUUUAUUCACGUUUUUC